rnacentral:lncRNA from 10 species
GUUUACCUAAGCAAGCCUGGGCAAUGGCGGGCGCCCCUCCCCCAGCCUGGCUGCCGCCUUGCAGUUUGAUCUCAGACUGCUGUGCCAGCAAUCAGCAAGACUCCAUGGGCGUCGUAGGACCCUCUGAGCCAGAUGUACUGAUUGCUCUGACCUCCUCUCGUAAACAGGCAUUCUACUGGAACGUGUAAGAUAAUUUUUGCCAUCUGUCAUUUUCUUCUUCUUGAGAAAGGAGGAGAAUUACUGAGAAACAAGAAAAUGGUUUCUAGAAGAAAAUUCAGGACCUAGAAACAGUUAAUAUAAGUUGUAUCCUUGGGAAUUUCCAAGCAUACCAAAUGACUACCAGGCAAGAGAAUGUUAAGCUAUACCAGACAAUUUAAUCACCUGCAUCCAGGAUAUGAAAUCCAGAAGUUUCAAUACUAUUAGCAGACUCUGACCAUCAGAAUUUUUUUUUUUUUAUACAACUUACAUUUCUCUCAUGAGAGUUUAAGUCUGCUUCCUUGUCUUAUACUCAGGGAAGAUGAAAGGCAGGUAACAUAUCCUGUAAAAUAAUUAACUGUAAGGUUGUUAAGUUAUUCUCCUGCCUUUGCUAUUGCAGUUUAAGUAAACAGUAAAUUAGUUUAAACUUUUCCUACAUCAUUACUUUAGUUAAUGAAUUCUAUUUCUUAGAGCAGUUUUAGAUUGAUAGAAAAAUUAAACAUAGAAUGCAGACAUUUCCCAUCAUCAAUUUAUUUCUAUUUAACUAAAUGGUUAAAAACUCUUAUUCUUUUGAAAACGUCACUAAGGAAUUUAUGUUGUCAAACAAUAAAGCCAUAUUUACUGAUACUGCAUGUAAGGGUUAUGACAACACAAAAGAUGCUGGGAAAAUGGAUGAGCACCUUCAAAUAAUAGUGCAUAAUGAUGUUGGACUAGCUGACAACAUUAAAGUCUGCAAAGGUAAAGGUUAGAAGAGACCUAAUGGCUUCUUCCUCUUUUUUUUUUUUUUUUUUGGCAACGGAGUCUUGCUCUGUCGCCCAGGC